UACAGAGGGGGCAAGCGUUGUUCGGAAUUACUGGGCGUAAAGGGCGCGUAGGUGGCCUUCUAAGUUGAACGUGAAAUCCCUGGGCUCAACCCAGGAACUGCGUCCAAGACUGGGAGGCUUGAAUCCGGGAGAGGGAUGCGGAAUUCCAGGUGUAGCGGUGAAAUGCGUAGAUAUCUGGAGGAACACCGGUGGCGAAGGCGGCAUCCUGGACCGGUAUUGACACUGAGGUGCGAAAGCGUGGGGAGCAAACAGG
rnacentral:rRNA from 1 species